rfam:Angiostrongylus costaricensis strain Costa Rica genome assembly, scaffold: ACOC_contig0002661
GGGGGUAUAGCUCAGGGGUAGAGCGCUCGCUUCGCAUGCGAGCAGUCUGGGGCUCGAUUCCCCAAACCUCAA